UACGGGGGGGGCAAGCGUUGUUCGGAAUUACUGGGCGUAAAGGGCUCGUAGGCGGCCAACUAAGUCGGAUGUGAAAUCCCCAGGCUCAACUUGGGAACUGCAUCCGAUACUGGAUGGCUUGAAUUCGGGAGAGGGAUGCAGAAUUCCAGGUGUAGCGGUGAAAUGCGUAGAUAUCUGGAGGAAUACCGGUGGCGAAGGCGGCAUCCUGGACCGACAUUGACGCUGAGGAGCGAAAGCUAGGGGGGCAAACGGG
rnacentral:rRNA from 1 species